rnacentral:lncRNA from 1 species
GGCAGCUGGGCAGUACGAAACUUAAACAAAGGUUUAGAAAGUACUUUUGAACAUUGAUUAGUAAGAGAAUUAGAGGAUUGGAUGGAACGAUUUUAAGUUUGGUAUCAGAACAGUCCACGUAGACACUUUUCUACCACUUGGAGAAAUUGGCGUUUCCAUAGUUGCUAAGGAGCUUCUUUGAUUUUUUGUUUUUGUUUUGUGUAAAUACUAAGACCAUCAAAAGGUUAUGGUUAGCUUUCUGGAUUCCACAUCGUCCACUCAGCUUUGACUGAGUCAUAGUCCAAUGCGUCCAAGUAAAUUUCAUGUGCAAUGAAUACCAAACUCAAAUUGCUCUUUGUCAAUGACUUCAAAAGAACUUAUGUUAUGGGAUCUGUCGUAUAAAUCUAGGGAGUAGUAACCCACUUCAUUGGUGACGAUGGUCUGGUAACUACAUACAUGUGCGUAUCUGUAAAGGUACCCUUCUGGAGGGGAAACUUUUACAGAGUCCUAAAACAUGCUCUUUUGCUACAUCAUGUGUCCUCUUUAAGGAAUCCUCAAAGUACCCAUCACACAAUCAAUCAUGCAAUGUAUCUACCCUAAUCCUAAAGACACCCACUAGUUAUAACUUGCUGUCAUUAUAACUCUUGAGGCUGCGUCUUAAUUUUUGCAUUUGCUUUACCUCUGACAACUACACAUUAUACGUUCCAUAUAUACUCUCAUCUUCGUAUAUUAUCAAAUCUCAACAUUGUUUUUUUUUACUGAAAAUCUCAACAAUGUUUCUUCAAUAAUGUAUCUCAUGCAUGCAUUUAUGCA